AGAGUUUGAUCCUGGCUCAGGAUGAACGCUAGCGGGAGGCCUAACACAUGCAAGCCGAGCGGUAUUUGUCCUUCGGGACGGAGAGAGCGGCGUACGGGUGCGGAACACGUGUGCAACCUGCCUUUAUCUGGGGGAUAGCCUUUCGAAAGGAAGAUUAAUACCCCAUAACAUAUGAUACGGCAUCGUAUUAUAUUGAAAACUCCGGUGGAUAGAGAUGGGCACGCGCAAGAUUAGAUAGUUGGUGAGGUAACGGCUCACCAAGUCAGUGAUCUUUAGGGGGCCUGAGAGGGUGAUCCCCCACACUGGUACUGAGACACGGACCAGACUCCUACGGGAGGCAGCAGUGAGGAAUAUUGGACAAUGGGUGAGAGCCUGAUCCAGCCAUCCCGCGUGAAGGACUAAGGCCCUAUGGGUUGUAAACUUCUUUUAUACUGGGAUAAACCUACUUACGUGUAAGUAGCUGAAGGUACAGUAUGAAUAAGCACCGGCUAACUCCGUGCCAGCAGCCGCGGUAAUACGGAGGGUGCAAGCGUUAUCCGGAUUUAUUGGGUUUAAAGGGUCCGUAGGCGGAUCCGUAAGUCAGUGGUGAAAUCUCAUAGCUUAACUAUGAAACUGCCAUUGAUACUGCGGGUCUUGAGUGAGAUUGAGGUAGCUGGAAUAAGUAGUGUAGCGGUGAAAUGCAUAGAUAUUACUUAGAACACCAAUUGCGAAGGCAGG
rnacentral:rRNA from 1 species